rnacentral:rRNA from 1 species
ACGCUCGACACCUACGGGAGACAGCAGUGAGGGAUAUUGGUCAAUGGGGGGAACCCUGAACCAGCAACGCCGCGUGAGGGAUGACGGUCUUCGGAUUGUAAACCUCUGUCCUCUGUGAAGAUAAUGACGGUAGCAGAGGAGGAAGCUCCGGCUAACUACGUGCCACAGCCGCGGUAAUCUGAGCGGGCUGGCAAGGC